CCUACGGGGCGCAGCAGUGGGGAAUAUUGCACAAUGGGGGAAACCCUGAUGCAGCGACGCCGCGUGAGUGAAGGAGUAUUUCGGUACGUAAAGCUCUAUCAGCAGGGAAGAAAAUGACGGUACCUGACUAAGAAGCCCCGGCUAACUACGUGCCAGCAGCCGCGGUAAUACGUAGGGGGCAAGCGUUAUCCGGAUUUACUGGGUGGAAAGGGAGCGUAGAAGGCAGCGCAAGUCUGGAGUGAAAUCCCAUGGCUUAACCAUGGCACUGCUUUGGAAACUGUGCAGCUAGUGUGCAGGAGAGGUAAGCGGAAUGCCUAGUGUAGGGGUGAAAUGCGGAGAUAUUAGGAGGACCACCAGUGGCGAAGGCGGCUUACUGGACUGUAACUGACGUGGAGGCUCGAAAGCGUGGGGAGAAAAAAGGAUUAGAUACCCAAGUAGUC
rnacentral:rRNA from 1 species